rnacentral:tRNA from 1 species
GGAGAGGUGGCAGAGUGGUCUAACGCGCCUGACUCGAAAUCAGGAGUACCGCAAGGUACCGUAGGUUCGAAUCCUAUCCUCUCCGCCA